rnacentral:rRNA from 1 species
CAGCGUGGGCGCUUGGGGCAAGUUCCUUGGAAGAGGACAGCAUGGAGGGUGAUACUCCCGUUCAUCCCUGAGUGGCUCGUGCGUACGACCCGUUUUCUUUGAGUCGCGUUGUUUGGGAAUGCAGCGCAAAGUAGGUGGUAAAUUCCAUCUAAAGCUAAAUAUUGGUGCGAGACCGAUAGCGAACAAGUACCGUGAGGGAAAGAUGAAAAGAACUUUGAAAAGAGAGUUAAAGAGURCCUGAAACUGCUGAAAGGGAACCGAAUYGUUUCCAGUGUCUAUAAUCUGUGGCAUAUUUCAUUGGCGAGCGUUUGCGUGCGUGUKCUGUGGCAGUGGCUUUUUUGGCUGCGCCUGGUGUGUGUGGUGUGAGUGUUUGCUGGUGCCCUGUGCUGCGGUGGGACGUCAAGGUCAGUUYGUAUGCUGCGGGAAAUGGCUGCCRAGGAGGUAGGGCUUACGCUCCGCGUUUGUCUGUUAUAUCUUGGUGGACGAGUYGUCGCGGUUGGGACUGAGGUGCCUACAACGUGCUUUUGAGUGGGUUUGUGUCUCCGUGUGCGCCGUGUGCG